rnacentral:lncRNA from 1 species
UGUCCCCCCCCCCGUGUCCCCCAACCCCAUCCCGGUGUCCCCAAAGUGUAAUUUUCCCUUUUCUCCCCAGCGAUGAGAUGCCCGAGAACAUCGAAAAAGCCGUGGCCGGCCUCAGAACCAUCACCCUGAUCCCUGUCAUAGGUGAGAGCCCCCAAAAGUGCCCUGAAGUGUCCCCAAAAUGUCCCUAAAGCAACCCCCAAAGUGUCCCCAAAGUGUCCAUGAAACUUCCCCAAAGUGUUCCCAAAGCAUCUCCCCAAAGCACCCUAAAACAUCCCCAAAGCGUCCCCAAAACGUCCCCAUAAGUGUCCCCAAAGCGUCCCCAAAACGUCCCCAAAGUGCCCCCAAAGCAUCCCCAAAGUGUCCCAAAAGCACCCCCAAAAUGCCCCAAAGCUUCCCAAAGCGUCCCCGAAGUGCCCCAAAGCGUUCUCAAAGUGCCCCAGAAGUCCUCAAAUUGCCCCCAGAACAUCCCCAAAGUGCCCCAAAAGCCUCCACAGCACCCCAAAGCGUCUCCAAAAGUCCCCCAAAUGCCCCAAACCAUCCCCAAAGCACCCCAAAACGCCCCCAGAAGCUCCCUAAAGCACCCCAAAAUGCCCCAAAGCGUCCCCAAAGCUCCCCAAUGUGUCCCAGAAGUGCCCCAAAGCACCCCCAAAGCUCCCCAAAGUGCCCCAAAGCAUCCUCAAAGCACCCCAAAGCAUCCCCAAAGCGCCCCAAAGCUCUCCAAAGCACCCCCAAAAUGCCCCAAAGCUCCCCAAAGCACCCCAAAGCGUCCCCAAAGUGCCACAAAACAUCCUCAAAGCGCCCCAGAAGUCCCCAAAGUGCCCCAAAGUGCCCCCAGAACAUCCCCAAAGUGCCCCAAAAGCCUCCACAGCACCCCAAAGCGUCUCCAAAAGUCCCCAAAAUGCCCCAAACUGUCCCCAAAGCACCCCAAAACGCCCCAAGAAGCUCCCUAAAGCACCCCAAAAUGCCCCAAAGCGUCCCCAAAGCUCCCCAAUGUGUCCCAGAAGUGCCCCAAAGCACCCCCAAAGCUCCCCAAAGUGCCCCAAAGCAUCCUCAAAGCACCCCAAAGCAUCCCCAAAGCGCCCCAAAGCUCUCCAAAGCACCCCCAAAAUGCCCCAAAGCUCCCCAAAGCACCCCAAAGCGUCCCCAAAGUGCCACAAAACAUCCUCAAAGCGCCCCAGAAGUCCCCAAAGUGCCCCAAAGUGCCCCCAGAACAUCCCCAAAGUGCCC